rnacentral:rRNA from 1 species
CCUACGGGUGGCAGCAGUGAGGAAUAUUGGUCAAUGGGCGGAAGCCUGAACCAGCCAAGUAGCGUGCGGGAUGAAGGCCCUACGGGUCGUAAACCGCUUUUGCACGGGGAUAACACCCUCCACUUGUGGAGGUCUGCAGGGACCGCGCGGAUAAGGCCCGGCAAAUUCCGUGCCAGCAGCCGCGGUAAUACGGAAGGCCCGAGCGUUAUCCGGAUUUAUUGGGGUUAAAGGGAGCGUAGGCGGGCGUUAAAGUCAGCGGUAAAAUCGCGCGGCUCAACCGCGGCCCGCCGUUGAAACUGGGCGCCUUGAGUUCACGAGAGGAAGGCGGAAUUCGUGGUGUAGCGGUGAAAUGCAUAGAUAUCACGAGGAACCCCGAUUGCGAAGGCAGCCUGCCGGGGUGCGACUGACGCUGAGGCUCGAAGGUGCGGGUAUCAAACAGGAUUAGAUACCCUUGUAGUC